AUUGAACGCUGGCGGCAGGCCUAACACAUGCAAGUCGAGCGAGCGGCGGACGGGAGAGUAAUGUCCGGGAAACCGCCUGAUGGAGGGGGAUAUAUACUGGAAACGGUAGCUCAUACCGCAUACAAUCAGAUGUGCCCAGCGGGGAUUAGCUGGUAGGUGGGGUAACGGUUCACCUAGGAGACGAUCCCUAGCUGGUCGGAGAGGAUGACCAGCCACACUGGAACGGAGACACGGUCCAGAGUCCUACGGGAGGCAGCCAUGGGGAAUAUUGCACAAUGGGCGCAAGCCUGAUGCAGCCAUGCCGCGUGUGUGAAGAAGGCCUUCGGGUUGUAAAGCACUUUCAGCGGGGAGGCGUUACCCGCAGAAGAAGCACCGGCUAACUCCGUGCCAGCAGCCGCGGUAAUUC
rnacentral:rRNA from 1 species